UACGUAGGGUGCGAGCGUUGUCCGGAAUUACUGGGCGUAAAGAGCUCGUAGGUGGUUUGUCGCGUUGUCCGUGAAAACUCACAACUCAAUUGUGGGCGUGCGGGCGAUACGGGCAGACUGGAGUACUGCAGGGGAGACUGGAAUUCCUGGUGUAGCGGUGGAAUGCGCAGAUAUCAGGAGGAACACCGGUGGCGAAGGCGGGUCUCUGGGGGAUUCCUGACGCUGAGGCGCGAAAGCUAGGGGAGCGAACGGG
rnacentral:rRNA from 1 species